rnacentral:rRNA from 1 species
AUGCCACCCAACUUGUUUAGGGUUCAACUGGUUCGGGUGCUGCCAGGCUGCGACGAGUUGUUACCUCCGAUUCGACCCAUCGGGGCCGACGAUGAUGACGUGAUGACCCUCAGCGCUUGCCUGAGCUGGCCCCUGCUUUGGCCGAAGAGCCAGAUUCGUUUGGGGGCGGGGGACACCACCCCAAAGACAACACCGCCAGUCGUGCCGCCGCCAAGUCGGCCCCAUGGCAAGAGCGCCGCAACGGUGCCGGACAUCCCUAUGCCACUGGAUCCAAACAUGCAUAUGGCACAGGAUCAGAACGACGACGACGAUGAUACAUUUGCCAACGUCGAUCAGUACUUUGCUGAUCAUGGGUAUGGUGGCGACUUCAUGGGGCCUCCUUCUCAAGAACCCAACCCAACAAAAGACAUGCGCGAUCUAGCUGGUAUCGCGGAGAAGCCAAGUUGCAACAGGUGUCGUCUGCAGUUCAGCUCUCAGGAAACGCCUCCAGCUGCCGACUUCACCGAGCCUCGGAUAGGCGAGGUGCGAAAUAUGAUCAGCCCCAACACACUCAAGAAGGCGGUCUGUGAGCAGAACUCGGUCCCAUUACAGGAGAAGAACAAGGCACGCAAAAGAAAGACUAACAAGGGUGUGGGCCAGCCGGCACCGAGUACGAUCUGUGCUCAGGACGGGCCACCUUCAACUGAGGAUAUCUUGAGGAGGGUGCAUGUGGCGGGUAGGCCGAUGCUACCGAGAAAUAUGCUCGAUGCUGCAACCGGUGCUAUGCGGAGUCUGCAUGACAGUGUUCUUUCUUUGGAGAAGCAGCGUCUUGGAGAGAAGGAUGUGGCAUACCCGGUUUUCGCGACCAAGGUGCCAGAGGGCAAGGGCUUUGUGGAUAACUCCAUCGGGGGUACGAUCAUCCUGCGGUUUGAUGACAUCCAUGCUAUGUUGAACCUUCAUCCUCUGCACUACACCUUUGUUCGGCUAUUUUCGCUGAGUAUGGAGAUGCGGAUCAUUCGCGACAAGACCCCGGACAUCGUGAUAGUCGACCCCUUCUACAUGCGUGCCAAGAUCUUGGGCAGCGCUGGGGACCGGCAAGUCGCGAGUUCUUACCUUGAAGGCGUCAUUCUCAAACCAAGAUAA